rnacentral:rRNA from 1 species
CAGUAGCCGCGGUAAAACGAAGGGUGCAAGCGUUAAUCGGAAUUACUGGGCGUAAAGCGUGCGUAGGCGGUUUGUUAAGUCUGUUGUGAAAUCCCCGGGCUCAACCUGGGAAUGGCAAUGGAUACUGGCAAGCUAGAGUGUGUCAGAGGAUGGUGGAAUUCCCGGCGUAGCGGUGAAAUGCGUAGAGAUCGGGAGGAACAUCAGUGGCGAAGGCGGCCAUCUGGGACAACACUGACGCUGAGGCACGAAAGCGUGGGUAGCAAACAGGAUUAGAGACCCCCGUAGUCCCUGUCUCUUAUAC